rnacentral:rRNA from 1 species
UACGGGGGGACGAGCGUUGUUCGGAUUUACUGGGCGUAAAGGGCGCGUAGGCGGGUCUUCAAGUUGGAUGUGAAAACCGGCGGCUCAACUGCCGGCCUGCACUCAAAACUGUUGAUCUUGAGUCGGGAAGGGGAAAGCGGAAUUCCAGGUGUAGCGGUGAAGUGCGUAGAUAUCUGGAAGAACACCGGUAGCGAAGGCGGCUUUCUGGUCCCACACUGACGCUAAAGCGCGAAGGCUUGGGUAGC